rnacentral:rRNA from 1 species
AUUGAACGCUGGCGGCAUGCCUUACACAUGCAAGUCGAACGGUAACAGGUCUUCGGAUGCUGACGAGUGGCGAACGGGUGAGUAAUACAUCGGAACGUGCCUAGUAGUGGGGGAUAACUACUCGAAAGAGUGGCUAAUACCGCAUGAGAUCUACGGAUGAAAGCAGGGGAUCGCAAGACCUUGUGCUACUAGAGCGGCCGAUGGCAGAUUAGGUAGUUGGUGGGAUAAAAGCUUACCAAGCCGACGAUCUGUAGCUGGUCUGAGAGGACGAUCGGCCAAGCUGGGAAGAAGACACGGCCCAGACUCCUAUGGGGGGCAGCAGUGGGGAAUUUUGGACAAUGGGGGCAAGCCUGAUCCAGCAAUGCCGCGUGCAGGAUGAAGGCCUUCGGGUUGUAAACUGCUUUUGUACGGAACGAAAAGCCCUGGGUUAAUACCCUGGGGUCAUGACGGUACCGUAAGAAUAAGCACCGGCUAACUACGUGCCAGCCGCCGCGGUAAAAC